rnacentral:rRNA from 1 species
GGUUAAGCGACUAAGCGUACACGGUGGAUGCCCUGGCAGUCAGAGGCGAUGAAGGACGUGCUAAUCUGCGAUAAGCGUCGGUAAGGUGAUAUGAACCGUUAUAACCGGCGAUUUCCGAAUGGGGAAACCCAGUGUGUUUCGACACACUAUCAUUAACUGAAUCCAUAGGUUAAUGAGGCGAACCGGGGGAACUGAAACAUCUAAGUACCCCGAGGAAAAGAAAUCAACCGAGAUUCCCCCAGUAGCGGCGAGCGAACGGGGAGCAGCCCAGAGCCUGAAUCAGUGUGUGUGUUAGUGGAAGCGUCUGGAAAGGCGCGCGAUACAGGGUGACAGCCCCGUACACAAAAAUGCACAUGCUGUGAGCUCGAUGAGUAGGGCGGGACACGUGGUAUCCUGUCUGAAUAUGGGGGGACCAUCCUCCAAGGCUAAAUACUCCUGACUGACCGAUAGUGAACCAGUACCGUGAGGGAAAGGCGAAAAGAACCCCGGCGAGGGGAGUGAAAAAGAACCUGAAACCGUGUACGUACAAGCAGUGGGAGCACGCUUAGGCGUGUGACUGCGUACCUUUUGUAUAAUGGGUCAGCGACUUAUAUUCUGUAGCAAGGUUAACCGAAUAGGGGAGCCGAAGGGAAACCGAGUCUUAACUGGGCGUUAAGUUGCAGGGUAUAGACCCGAAACCCGGUGAUCUAGCCAUGGGCAGGUUGAAGGUUGGGUAACACUAACUGGAGGACCGAACCGACUAAUGUUGAAAAAUUAGCGGAUGACUUGUGGCUGGGGGUGAAAGGCCAAUCAAACCGGGAGAUAGCUGGUUCUCCCCGAAAGCUAUUUAGGUAGCGCCUCGUGAAUUCAUCUCCGGGGGUAGAGCACUGUUUCGGCAAGGGGGUCAUCCCGACUUACCAACCCGAUGCAAACUGCGAAUACCGGAGAAUGUUAUCACGGGAGACACACGGCGGGUGCUAACGUCCGUCGUGAAGAGGGAAACAACCCAGACCGCCAGCUAAGGUCCCAAAGUCAUGGUUAAGUGGGAAACGAUGUGGGAAGGCCCAGACAGCCAGGAUGUUGGCUUAGAAGCAGCCAUCAUUUAAAGAAAGCGUAAUAGCUCACUGGUCGAGUCGGCCUGCGCGGAAGAUGUAACGGGGCUAAACCAUGCACCGAAGCUGCGGCAGCGACGCUGAUGCGUUGUUGGGUAGGGGAGCGUUCUGUAAGCCUGUGAAGGUGUACUGUGAGGUAUGCUGGAGGUAUCAGAAGUGCGAAUGCUGACAUAAGUAACGAUAAAGCGGGUGAAAAGCCCGCUCGCCGGAAGACCAAGGGUUCCUGUCCAACGUUAAUCGGGGCAGGGUGAGUCGACCCCUAAGGCGAGGCCGAAAGGCGUAGUCGAUGGGAAACAGGUUAAUAUUCCUGUACUUGGUGUUACUGCGAAGGGGGGACGGAGAAGGCUAUGUUGGCCGGGCGACGGUUGUCCCGGUUUAAGCGUGUAGGCUGGUUUUCCAGGCAAAUCCGGAAAAUCAAGGCUGAGGCGUGAUGACGAGGCACUACGGUGCUGAAGCAACAAAUGCCCUGCUUCCAGGAAAAGCCUCUAAGCAUCAGGUAACAUCAAAUCGUACCCCAAACCGACACAGGUGGUCAGGUAGAGAAUACCAAGGCGCUUGAGAGAACUCGGGUGAAGGAACUAGGCAAAAUGGUGCCGUAACUUCGGGAGAAGGCACGCUGAUAUGUAGGUGAAGUCCCUCGCGGAUGGAGCUGAAAUCAGUCGAAGAUACCAGCUGGCUGCAACUGUUUAUUAAAAACACAGCACUGUGCAAACACGAAAGUGGACGUAUACGGUGUGACGCCUGCCCGGUGCCGGAAGGUUAAUUGAUGGGGUUAGCGCAAGCGAAGCUCUUGAUCGAAGCCCCGGUAAACGGCGGCCGUAACUAUAACGGUCCUAAGGUAGCGAAAUUCCUUGUCGGGUAAGUUCCGACCUGCACGAAUGGCGUAAUGAUGGCCAGGCUGUCUCCACCCGAGACUCAGUGAAAUUGAACUCGCUGUGAAGAUGCAGUGUACCCGCGGCAAGACGGAAAGACCCCGUGAACCUUUACUAUAGCUUGACACUGAACAUUGAGCCUUGAUGUGUAGGAUAGGUGGGAGGCUUUGAAGUGUGGACGCCAGUCUGCAUGGAGCCGACCUUGAAAUACCACCCUUUAAUGUUUGAUGUUCUAACGUUGACCCGUAAUCCGGGUUGCGGACAGUGUCUGGUGGGUAGUUUGACUGGGGCGGUCUCCUCCUAAAGAGUAACGGAGGAGCACGAAGGUUGGCUAAUCCUGGUCGGACAUCAGGAGGUUAGUGCAAUGGCAUAAGCCAGCUUGACUGCGAGCGUGACGGCGCGAGCAGGUGCGAAAGCAGGUCAUAGUGAUCCGGUGGUUCUGAAUGGAAGGGCCAUCGCUCAACGGAUAAAAGGUACUCCGGGGAUAACAGGCUGAUACCGCCCAAGAGUUCAUAUCGACGGCGGUGUUUGGCACCUCGAUGUCGGCUCAUCACAUCCUGGGGCUGAAGUAGGUCCCAAGGGUAUGGCUGUUCGCCAUUUAAAGUGGUACGCGAGCUGGGUUUAGAACGUCGUGAGACAGUUCGGUCCCUAUCUGCCGUGGGCGCUGGAGAACUGAGGGGGGCUGCUCCUAGUACGAGAGGACCGGAGUGGACGCAUCACUGGUGUUCGGGUUGUCAUGCCAAUGGCACUGCCCGGUAGCUAAAUGCGGAAGAGAUAAGUGCUGAAAGCAUCUAAGCACGAAACUUGCCCCGAGAUGAGUUCUCCCUGACUCCUUGAGAGUCCUGAAGGAACGUUGAAGACGACGACGUUGAUAGGCCGGGUGUGUAAGCGCAGCGAUGCGUUGAGCUAACCGGUACUAAUGAACCGUGAGGCUUAACCUU